GCGCCGGAGGAGCCGGCCGGGCGGAAACGGAAACCGCGGCUUUGGCUUCCGGGCGCCUGGGGCCGCGGGUUCGUCUCCGCUCGCUCCGGGAGGGAAGCUCCGCACCCCCUGCAGCCCCCUCCCAGACUCCAUUGCUUCCCCAGUCGAGGUGACCGGAGCCGAUUCGGGAAGAAACUGGGCGCGCCUGCUGCUGCGCUGAUUCGGUCCGGCUCGGCUCGCUGCAGGACCGUCUUCCUCCUGCGAGCUGCCAGGGAGGCGGGGGCGGCCCCCUCCCCAGCGCGGCCGCGACCGCCCCCCGGGUCCGCUCCAGUCUGGCUUUUACUGGCACGGCCGAGGCAUGGGGUUCUGGAGGAAAGCACACGGUUGUUGAGGUAGAGCCGGGUGCAUUCUGCGCCCUGUGCCUCAGUUUCCUCCUCUGUACGAGUCGGAUACUACUAGUGUUAGCUUUUGCUUUUCCUCAGAUGUGCUGUCCUGAAAGCCAGCGGCAAGAAGUCCAACUUCCCUGAGACAGCCAUGCUGCGAGGAAGCCCAAGCAUGCCACGUGUACUAACGAGGCAACGCAGAGGACUGAGGUGUCAGACACGAAGAAAAACUGAGCCUCGGCAGGUCAAGUUAGGUGGUGCGGCCAGCAGGAGGACGAGGGGGAAGAGGACUCCAAGGAGCCUGCUCUCCCUGCUUACUCUCCCUGCUUCGUAAAGGUUUCUUUAGUGAAUGAGUAGAUGGAUGAAUAAAGUCCUCUGAAUCCAAAAUUGCCUUGUCAAAGGACAUCAACCGCCAGAAGGCAUGGCCCCAAUUAAACAGAAGCAAAACAACCUUCUAAGAUUGUGUGAGGUACUCUGAGUUUGCCUUAAAUAACUCAGGCGUUUCCCAGACCCUUGAGUGAUAAGAUCUCAGGCAAGUUGCAGAACCUGUUGGGGGCUGGUUUCUCCAUUUCUAGUGGGGAGGCGCUCCUCUCCAUGCUCCUCCCUCCCUUUUGGGAAGCAGGCUCAGCAGAGCCACAGGACUUGUAGCUCUGGUUAUGGGCUAUAAAAUCCUUGAAAGAGGAGUCCUGGCUGGUGACCAUCCUGGGGCCAGGACUACCUACAUAAUUCAUGGGGCCCUGCACAAAAUGAAAGUGGCACCCCUGGUUCAAAAAUUAAUAAAAAUUUUCAGGCCAGAACAGCAGACCAUUAAACAAAUGUGACUGUAUAGGCUCCACACACCCAUGAAGCCAGCCUUUACCUGUAGCCCUUGAUUUGGGAGAAGGGGAGAAGAAGUCUUAGAAGGGUGUUGGAUGGAGGGGGCUCCUGGGUGGCUCAGUGGGUUCAGUGUCAGACUCUUGCUUUUGGCUCAGGUCAUGAUCUCAGGGUUGUGAGAUCGAACACCAUGUCUGGGCUCCACACUGGCUGUGGAGCCUACUUAAGAUCCUCUCUCUCCCUCUACCCCUCCCCACCCCCCAAAAAAGACAGGGAUUGGUGGGACAUCAUGAAAGCACCAAAAAUAGGACAAAUUAAAUAGUUACGGAGGGACAUCUGGGUGGCUCAGUCCGUUAAGCUUCUGACUCUUGGUUUCAGUUCAGGUCAUGACCUCAGGGUCCUGAGAUCGAGCCCCAAGUUGGGCUCCCUGCUCAGCAGGGAGUCUGCUUCCCCUCUCUCUUUCUCCCUCUGCCCCUCCCCCCACUUGUGCACACACCCUCUCUCUAAAAAUGAAUAAAUAAGUCUUUUUAAAAAAUAGCCAUGGAGAUCAGGUUCUGAUCUCUUGAAACAUACAAUUCCAGGAUAUAAAGUUUCUGAAAUUCACCUAGAACUAUUCUUCCAUUUUAUGUCUGAGGAAGUUGAGAUCCAGACAGAAGCAGACAGAAGCAGUGACUUGGGGUGUCAUGGGGUCCCACAAAGAAGGCAACCCCUCUCUGAAUCUCAGUCUCCUUAUCACUGAAACAACACAGGGCAGGCUGAAUAAUGCAUUAUUUCCUAUUUCCACCAAAAUAACAAUCACAUAAAAGGGCCAAGUCCACAAGGACCAAGGAAAUGGAAGGAGGAGGUGAUGGCAAUUGAAGAGGCUGGAGAGUGGGUGGGUGGGGCAGGAGGAAGCACAGUCUGGGAACUGGAUAACUGAGUGAAAAUCUGAAUACUGCUCUUAACUUCCUUUCCAGAAUGUCGGUAGCAAGUUUUACAUCUCCCCAGGCAGGAGAUGAGAGUCUUCUCUGGUAUAAAUUCCAGAAACUACCAUUUGGGAUUCUUCAUAGUGGGUUUGAACUCUGUCCUAUUAGGCGGAAGCCCUAGGGCCCACAUCUGGCUUAUGUGCAAAGAGCUUUCUAGGCUCCUGAGAGCUGAUGGCCAAGCACCUCCAGACAUGGGAAAAGGCUUCUAACUUGAAAGGCAGAAAACAAGUGGAAAAAAGAAUUGGGAGAAAUCAGACAGCUUCAAAAUAAAAAUUUAAUAUAAAAAAUAAAUUCAGAGAACAUUCCAGAACAAAAAGAUGAAAAAGAUGGAAAAUAGCAGAGAAAAGAUAAAGCAAGAAAAGAAGUCUACAGGGUUGAAAGCUAUCUGCUAGAAAUGCCAGAUAGAGAGCCAAGGGGAAAAAAUUACCAAGGAAAUAACAUAAGGAAAUUUCUCAGAACUAAAGCAUAUGUUUCCAACUCAAAAGGGCUAGCAUAAGGAAUGAAAAAGACCCAGAGUCAGGUACAUCAUUGUGAACUUUUCAAAUACGAGGGAUACAGAGAAGAUGCUGUAAACUUCUAGGGAGGAAAAGAAAAUCAGAAUCUAUUGACCUCUCCACACUGUAAUCUAGUGGACAAGAGACCAAUGACUUCAAUGUUCUAAUCUGCACCCUACACCUCUAUAUUCAGCCAAACCAUCCAUCAGAUAAGGGUAAAAUAUUUCAGGCCUGCAAGAACUAAUAUCAUUUCCUUCCCUUGUACCCUUUCCUUGUACGUUUAGUGGACUACUAGAGGUGAUGAUCCAAAAAAGAAGGGAGUAAACCAAGAUGGGAACCCACAGAAUCGAGGAAUCAAGGGAUCUACAGCAUAAGAGGCAAUGUGAGUCCCCAUGAUGAUGGUGAAUGGAAAUUUCCAGACGACAUCUCUAUAAUGUCCAGUCUAAAUUGAAGAACAUGGAAGGAAGGCUCUGAAAGGAAGGUCUCUAGGAGUAAGAUGCAUAUGACAUAUUGGAGAUUAUGGAAAACAUUGAUAGAAUUGAGGUAGACUUUGUUAGAACAUUAGGAAAAAUUAAUGAUGCAUAGAAAAUCAGGCACAUGGGAAGAAAAGGAGGAAAUGAGUGACUCCAGUAAAAGUGAAAGACUGAAUAAGAAAUUUGGUAUGAACAUAGUGUUAAUGUGGUUCUCCAGUAAAUGCCAUUCGUGCAGUCAUGAGCAAGUAUAUAUACUGAUUAUUGAUAUAACUAAAAUUGUUUUAUAACUAUGUCGGGGGGUAGGGAAUGGGAAAUAGGGAGGUAUAGGAGACUCAGUCCUUAUUUAUCAUUGUAGAAACUCAGUAUAGUAUCUCAAAAUGUAAAAUAAUGCAUUAAAUAUGGAUAGCUCCAGUCCCAUGGUUUUAAAUAUCAUCUAUAAGACUUCCAAGUUUAAGAAGGUGAGAAGACAUUCCUACUUCUUUUUCUCUCAAAAAUUACCUCAAAACAACGAAGAAAAUAACAAACAGAAACACAAACUCUAUCCUUGACAUUAGAAGACACUGCAAUUCUGAACCAUUACAUGUGAAGCUAAGUGGCUAGAAGAAUGACAAAUGACAAAAAAAAAGUGAACAAAGAUGAACCCAAAUGCCAGUAGAAGUAUAAUUUAUUUACAAUAAAAUUCACAAUUUUAAGUGUACAUGAUGAGUUUUGGCAUAUAUAUGUAUAUAUCCACUACCAAAAAAUGAUUUAGAACAUUGCAGUCAGUUCCUAUCUCUAAGCCCCAAACCCCUAGCAAACACUGAUCUGCUAUCAUCACCAUAGACUUGCCUUUUCUUUUAUUUUUUUAAGAUUUUAUUUAUUUAUUUGAGAGAGAGACAAAGAGAGUGAGCGAGAGCAUGAGCAGGGGGCAGGAGGAGGCAGAAGGAGAGGGAGAAGCAGACUCCCCACUGAGGAGGAGCCUGAGGAUGCAGGGUUCAAUCCCAGGACCCCUGGGAUCAUGACCUGAGCUGAAGGCACUUAACCAACUCAGCCACCCAGCACCUCUAGACUUGCCUUUUCUAGAACUUUUCUAGAACUUCAUAUAAAUACAUACAGUGUGUAGGGGCGCCUGGGUGGCUCAGUUGGUUAAGCAUCUGACUCUUGGUUUCGGCUCAGGUCAUGAUCUCAGGGUCGUGGGACUGAGCCCUGCAUUAGCCCUGCAUCACUAAGCCCUGUGCUUAGUGCAGAGUCUGCUUGUCCCUCUCCCUCUUCUCCUCCACCCCCAAUCGCUCACUCUCUCUCUCAAAUAAAUAAAUAAAAUCUUUAAAAAAACACAUACUGUGUAUUCAUUUUGCAUCUGGCUUUUUUCACUUAGUAAUGCUUUUGUGAUUCAUCCAUCGUAUUGGGUGUAUGUAUGAGUAGUUCAUACCUAUUAAUUGCUAAGCAGUAUUACAUUAAGAUAUAGAUUUUUCUUUAUCUACUUAUCAACUGAUGGACUUUUGGAUUGCUUCCAGUUUGGGGCUACUCCAAACAAAGCUGUUAUGAGUCUUCAUGUAUAAAUCUUUGUGUGGACAUAAUGUUUUCAUUUCACUUGAAAAAUACCCGAGAGUAGAAUUUCUAAGUCAUAUGGUAAGUGAAUGUUUAACUUGGUAAGUAAAUGUAAACUGUUGUUUCACAUUGUAGCCAAACCUUGGCAUUAUCAAUCUUUUAAGCUUUAUCUACUUCAAUGGGUAUGUAGUAGUAUCUCCUUUUGGUUUAAAUUUACACUUCCCUAAUGACUAAUGAUGUUGAACAUCUUUUCAUGUGCUUAUUUGGCAUCUAUAUUUUUAAAAUAAAAUGUCUACUCAAAUCUUUUGCCUAAUUUUAACUCAAUAACUCUUGUUAUUGAGUUGUGAGAGUUCUUUAUACCUUGUGAAAACAAAUCCUUUAUUUUAUGUAUGUUUUGCUAACAUAGUCUUCCAGUCUGUGGCUUGCUUUUUCAUUUUCCUAAUUGUGCUUUCAAAAAACACAUAUUUAAAAAAAAAAAACACAA